GUGGGGAAUCUUCCGCAAUGGACGAAAGUCUGACGGAGCAACGCCGCGUGAGUGAUGAAGGUCUUCGGAUUGUAAAGCUCUGUUAAUCGGGACGAAAGAGCCUAGUGUGAAUAAUGCUAGGAAGUGACGGUACCGGAAUAGAAAGCCACGGCUAACUACGUGCCAGCAGCCGCGGUAAUACGUAGGUGGCAAGCGUUGUCCGGAAUUAUUGGGCUUAAAGCGCGCGCAGGCGGAUCUGCCAGUCUGUCUUAAAAGUUCGGGGCUUAACCCCGUGAUGGGAUGGAAACUACAGAUCUAGAGUAUCGGAGAGGAAAGUGGAAUUCCUAGUGUAGCGGUGAAAUGCGUAGAUAUUAGGAAGAACACCAGUGGCGAAGGCGACUUUCUGGACGAAAACUGACGCUGAGGCGCGAAAGCCAGGGGAGCGAACGGGAUUAGAAACCCGGGUAGUCC
rnacentral:rRNA from 1 species